AUUGUUCCACCCAUAGAUGUGAAUGCAAACAUUGAGUUGUAAGGUCGUAUAUUCUCCAUGAAAUUUUUGCUUCUUUCAUCACCUUUGAACAUGAGAUCUUUAAGAAUCUGGGGAAGUUCUGGUGGUGGUGCCAAAUCGAUCUUUCCAUGCAUACAACAAAGUGAGAACUUUGGUACAUGGAAAUCCAUUGCCAUUGCUCUUGCCGUUCUGUGUCGUCUCGUCAACGUUCGGUGUCGUCUCGUCCAAGUUUUGGUCCAAGUUAGUACUUGGAGCUGAAGCUGAAAAUAAGGUUGAUGUCAAGAGUAGAGAAUCAAUAAAUAUGGAAAUUUGACAGAAGUUAAAAACCUAUGAAGGAGGUAAUGGUGGAGAAACACUUGACAGGAUCCGGUGGUAGAAGAUGAUAACUGUCGAUUGUAAAAGUUAAUGGUGGGAACAAUACAAAAUAGAUAUUGAGAUCGUGGGGUCUGAGAUGUAUAUAAUGGUUGUUUUAAAAGCUGAAAGAUAAAAAAUUGGGACUUAAGCCAGGUGUCAUAUGGAGGAUGUUGCAGUUACUUGAAAAUUUACUUGUGAUUUAUUAGAUA